UACGAAGGGGGCUAGCGUUGUUCGGAAUUACUGGGCGUAAAGCGCGCGCAGGCGGCUAUCCAAGUCAGUGGUGAAAGCCCGGAGCUCAACUCCGGAACUGCCAUUGAAACUGUUUAGCUUGAGGAUGAGAGAGGUGAGUGGAAUUCCCAGUGUAGAGGUGAAAUUCGUAGAUAUUGGGAAGAACACCGGUGGCGAAGGCGGCUGCGGUCGA
rnacentral:rRNA from 1 species